rnacentral:rRNA from 1 species
AACGAACGCUGGCGGCAUGCCUAACACAUGCAAGUCGAACGAGAACUUCGGGUCUAGUGGCGCACGGGUGCGUAACGCGUGGGAAUCUGCCCUUUGGUUCGGAAUAACAGUUGGAAACGACUGCUAAUACCGGAUGAUGACGAAAGUCCAAAGAUUUAUCGCCAGAGGAUGAGCCCGCGUAGGAUUAGCUAGUUGGUGUGGUAAAGGCGCACCAAGGCGACGGUCCUUAGCUGGUCUGAGAGGAUGAUCAGCCACACCGGGAAUGAGACACGGCCCAGACUGCUACUGGAGGCAGCAGUGGGGAAUAUUGCACAAUGGGCGAAAGCCUGAUCCAGCGAUGCCGCGUGAGUGAUGAAGGCCUUAGGGUUGUAAAGCUCUUUUACCCGGGAUGAUAAUGACAGUAGCGAGAGAAUAAGCUCCGGCUAACUCCGUGCCAGCAGCCGCAGUAA